GACGAACCGUGCAAACGUUAUUCGGAAUCACUGGGCAUAAAGGGCGCGUAGGCGGAAUGGCAAGUCGGUCGUGAAAUCCUUCGGCUCAACCGAAGAACGUCGAUCGAAACUGCCGUUCUUGAGGAUUGCAGAGGAGACUGGAAUUCCCGGUGUAGCGGUGAAAUGUGUAGAGAUCGGGAGGAACACCGGUGGCGAAAGCGACGUGCUGGCCCUCUUCUGACGCUGAGGCGCGAAAGCGUGGGGAGCAAACAGG
rnacentral:rRNA from 1 species